AGUGAACGCUGGCGGCAGGCCUAACACAUGCAAGUCGAGCGGCAGCGCGUCCGACCACCCUCGGGUGGUCGGAUGGCGGCGAGCGGCGGACGGGUGAGGAAUGCAUCGGAAUCUGCCUCGUUGUGGGGGAUAACGUAGGGAAACUUACGCUAAUACCGCAUACGACCUACGGGUGAAAGUGGGGGACCUUCGGGCCUCACGCGAUGAGAUGAGCCGAUGCCGGAUUAGCUAGUUGGCGGGGUAAAGGCCCACCAAGGCGACGAUCCGUAGCUGGUCUGAGAGGAUGAUCAGCCACACUGGAACUGAGACACGGUCCAGACUCCUACGGGAGGCAGCAGUGGGGAAUAUUGCGCAAUGGGCGAAAGCCUGACGCAGCAACGCCGCGUGAGGGAUGACGGC
rnacentral:rRNA from 1 species